AGAGGGAGAGAGAGAGUGGAUGGAUCCCAUUUCUUGUGUGAUUCGCGCUAUUCCUCGUUUCCGUAUUGGUUGAUUGUUUUGUGGAGUUUUA